rnacentral:rRNA from 1 species
AGAGUUUGAUCAUGGCUCAGGAUGAACGCUAGCGGCAGGCUUAACACAUGCAAGUCGAGGGGUAGAGGAAGCUUGCUUCCUUGAGACCGGCGCACGGGUGCGUAACGCGUAUGCAAUCUACCUUUUACAGAGGGAUAGCCCAGAGAAAUUUGGAUUAAUACCUCAUAGUAUAAUGACUCGGCAUCGAGAUAUUAUUAAAGUCACAACGGUAAAAGAUGAGCAUGCGUCCCAUUAGCUAGUUGGUGUGGUAACGGCACACCAAGGCAACGAUGGGUAGGGGUCCUGAGAGGGAGAUCCCCCACACUGGUACUGAGACACGGACCAGACUCCUACGGGAGGCAGCAGUGAGGAAUAUUGGACAAUGGGCGCAAGCCUGAUCCAGCCAUGCCGCGUGCAGGAUGACGGUCCUAUGGAUUGUAAACUGCUUUUGCACAGGAAGAAACAACGCUACGUGUAGCGUCUUGACGGUACUGUGAGAAUAAGGGUCGGCUAACUCCGUGCCAGCAGCCGCGGUAAUACGGAGGAUCCAAGCGUUAUCCGGAAUCAUUGGGUUUAAAGGGUCCGUAGGCGGUUUAGUAAGUCAGUGGUGAAAGCCCAUCGCUCAACGGUGGAACGGCCAUUGAUACUGCUAGACUUGAAUUAUUAGGAAGUAACUAGAAUAUGUAGUGUAGCGGUGAAAUGCUUAGAGAUUACAUGGAAUACCAAUUGCGAAGGCAGGUUACUACUAAUUGAUUGACGCUGAUGGACGAAAGCGUGGGUAGCGAACAGGAUUAGAUACCCUGGUAGUCCACGCCGUAAACGAUGGAUACUAGCUGUUGGGCGCAAGUUCAGUGGCUAAGCGAAAGUGAUAAGUAUCCCACCUGGGGAGUACGUUCGCAAGAAUGAAACUCAAAUGAAUUGACGG